ensembl:rRNA 5S_rRNA 5S ribosomal RNA
CUCUACAGCCUGUAGGCAGGCCAGCCUUGGUUGUGAUCUUGUAAGAUCUCAUAAGUGAAGUACUAUUGGGCUUGGUCAGCACUUGAAUGGGAGAUCUCCAAAGAAAACCCAGACACCGUUGGGG